CGGACAGCCCGGGGUCCUGAAACAGCCAUUUGAACUUGUUUACUUUGUGAACAGAGCAAGAAACUCUGUGACAAGAUGCAAAAAAUAAUAAAGCGUAUCGGACCCAAAUAUGUCUCCAUCGCCAGAGCGUGGGUUCCCACGCUGGUCGGAUGGGGUACAGUUGGUGGCCUGGCUGUUGUCUAUUUUACAGACUGGCGGGUGAUUCUGGAUUAUGUUCCCUACAUCAGAGGAAAAUUCAAGAAGGAUGACUAGUUGUCCAGCUCCUUACGGAUCUGUGGAACGCGGUUUCUGUGCAUUUUUACAGGGAACAAAUAGCUGAUGCUUUGACUAAGAUAGCCAGUAGGCGGCGCUGGUGAUGCGACAUUCAGCCAUAAAGACCGAAGAGGAUUAUCUGUCACUUUAAGACUUCAUUUUAUUUUUUUUCAUUUUUUUCCUUUAGAUAGCAUGUCUUGCUAAUAAGUUGCUGUCUUUUUGUACAGAGAGUAGGAAAUGGUUCUGCUUUAUGCUUGGCACAUCACUCAGUUCGAGUUUGCACAAUGAGCAUAAAAUAUGUUGUAUUUACUUAAAAGUGUUAUAUUGUGUUACUUUUGUGAAUAAAUAGUAAUGUAUA